AAUAAAAUUGAUUUUUCAUUAAUGUUUGUAUAUUAGGUAUCAACUUUGAAAUAUUUCGUUUAUGUUUGUAAAAUCGGUUCGUGCCUGUUACUUAUGCUCUUGUGGAAUUUAUUUGUCAUAGUGUUUGUUAAAGCUUCCUCGAUAGUAGCGCUUUUAUAGCAUGAUACGCAUGGCGCGUACAUACCUUUUGGCGGAAUACAGGCGCGAUGCAAAUUUGUCGCCAUGCAUGAUAUUCGCCAUGCUAAAAUAGUUGACGCGAUUAUUAAUAAUAGAGUAAUGGUUCAAUAGUCGGACUUUUCGAAAAGAGGCACGGUUUCGAGGCGCAAGACUAUUUUCUACUCGUUCAUUUCGCUACACAAUCGGCUGGAAAGCAGAAGUGCGCGAGUAUAGUUUCGAGUGAUAGCUCCAAAUUACGUUUAGUUUAGUCAGAAGUUGAAAGUUAUUUGAAGUUAAGUUUGAGUUCUGGUGAAAGUUAUUUCUAAAGUUGAAGUGGACCGAGGUCCAUAGAAUCCGCGAAUUCUGCUGAUAAUUUUAUUCAGUUGCAGAAACUACGAAAAAAGGUAAUUAAUUUGAUAAUUUCUAAAAAGUGCUUAUUGAAACUAAUUCGCUUAUUAAAACUAAUUCCUGUUGGACGUGUAGCGCCCAGCAGCGCUUUUUUUCGUACGGCUGGAUUUCCGUGCUAUUUCGGCGAUCGUCAUCGCCGAAUCGGGGUGUUAUUGGCGGAGUGAACCGCCCUUUCGUCCGUUGAACGCGACUCGUGUGCCCAGGUAAGGCCCGCCUUCAAAGGUAGCCAAACGGAGUGGAGUGAAGUCGCUAAGUUAUUUUCCGUAGCGAGUAAUCCCCCUCGGUAGCCAAAAACCGAAGGUAGGUCCAAUUUCGUCUAACCCCGUGGACCAGGGAACGAGAGUUUUGGUUCGCGUGCAGCGUGUCGUCAAUUGCACGCCGCGAACCCGGUCACAAUCCAGGUACAUAGGAGUAGUGGCAUUCCCCGCUCGGUCAUAGUUGGAACCUAAGUACGCGAAGCCGGGUCGCUGGGCUCUGUAGCUCUCCUAUCGACUGGUGAGGGACCGUCCCGGGAAUCGUACGGCAUCCGCCGCAUACUCUCGUCGAGAUAAACCGGAAGCUUCCGUCCAGCCGCCACUCCCUCCGCAACGAUAAUACGGCCAUAACGCACACGGGUCUCCUCGUCGUCGCUGCGCGCCAAAACGCAGCACCAACACGCCAGGUACCGCCAUCUUCGAGAACCGAAGGACGCCAUCAUCGAGUCGUCGAGCUUCGUCGUCGCCCCGCCAUC